rnacentral:tRNA from 1 species
GUUAUUUAUAGUAAUGAAAUUACUGCCUAUAGAAUCAAAAUCUACUGUGCUAAAACACCAAGAAAUA